CUUGGUCAUUUAGAGGAAGUAAAAGUCGUAACAAGGUUUCCGUAGGUGAACCUGCGGAAGGAUCAUUAUCACAUGAUUCCAUGUAUAAACCAUUCGUGCACUGUUAAACAACUGAAACCCCCUUUAAACUUUUGAACUAACGUUUUCAUACUCCAAUAAAACGGAGAUGAAAUUCUUACGAAACAAAGAACAACUCUUAGCAACGGAUAUCUUGGUUCUCGUAACGAUGAAGAACGCAGCGAAAUGCGAUACGUAAUGCGAAUUGCAGAAUUCAGUGAAUCAUCAAAUCUUUGAACGCAAAUUGCACUUUCUGGAUAGGCCAGGGAGUAUGCCUCUUUGAGCAUCGUUUCUACCAAACUCGUUAGCAUUCUUUUUAUUAAGAGUGCGAGCGGAUAAUGCGCUUCUCGCAGGAAACUGUGAGUGGCGUUAAGAAGCGUGAGUACUCUUUUUCUAAUUGACUUGAUCAGUGUUCGACCUCUUUCGGGAGGGCGCCUUCCGAUUCGGAGGAUGUUAUCGCUGACGACGUAGAUAAUUAAUUUUUUCGAACGUUGUUGGUGAGAGAUCGGAUGAAUUAGAUAUGGCUAAGGCAUUGAUUGAUAAACCCGAAAUGCGAGAACUCGAUGAAAAUUAAACUGAAGAAGCGAAAGCUUUUUCUUUUGAAUUAGAUCUCAAAUGAAGCAAGAUUACCCGCUGAACUUAAGCAUAUUAUUAAGCGGAGGAAAAGAAACUAACAAGGAUGCCCUCAGUAACGGCGAGUGAAGCGGGCAAAGCUCAACCUGAAAAUCGGAUUCCUUAGCGGGGUUUCGAAUUGUGGGCUACAGACGCGUGAUCAGUGUGUGACCCAGGUAUAAAUCUCUUUGAAACGAGGUAUCAUAGAGGGUGAGAAUCCCGUCUGUGACUUGGAGUUCGCCGCGUACGAUCCGUGUUCGCAGAGUCGCGUUGUUUGGGAUUGCAGCGCUAAAUGGGUGGUAAAUUUCAUCUAAAGCUAAAUAUCGACGAGAGACCGAUAGCGAACAAGUACCGUGAGGGAAAGAUGAAAAGAACUUUGAAAAGAGAGUUAAAAAGUACUUGAAAUUGCUAAGAGGGAAGCACUGGAAACCAGUCGUGCUGCGCGUGUAUAUUUAGCAUGUCUGUCUGGAUCCGGGUGGUUGCUGCGAGCCAAAAGCCGCACUGCCGUUCGGUGAAUUGCGGGCUAGCGACCUGUACUGUGUAGCGAGUCAGAACCAAUUCGGCUCGAGUGAGAAAGCUAUCAUAACGGUAGGAGCGCGGGGGCAACCCCAAGUUCUGUUUAGUAUGGUAGUGCUAACUUGGGCUGGAUUGAGGGACAAUUUCAACGCGCCCCGCAUGGGUUUGCGCUCCCCGACCCUGGGUGCUCAGGAGGUUUGGACAACAAAGUUGUGCUAUCUCUGAAGGUGCUUACUGGAAAGGAUGAGCGACACGCAGCGUUCGAGAUUCUGACGAAAUGGUUUUCAUUGACCCGUCUUGAAACACGGACC
rnacentral:rRNA from 1 species